ACAUGCAAGUCGAACGGGACCCGCAAGGGUUCAGUGGCGGACGGGUGCGUAACACGUGAAGAACAUGUCUUUCGGUGGGGGAUAGCCGGCCCAACGGCCGGGUAAUACCGCAUACGCUGUUCGGGGCUCCUGCCCUGAAUCGGAAAGCAACAAUGCGCCGAUCGAGUGCUUCGCGGCCUAUCAGCUAGUUGGUGAGGUAACGGCUCACCAAGGCCACCACCGGUAGCUGGUCUGAGAGGAUGGCCAGCCACAUUGGGACUGAGACACGGCCCAGAUUCCUACGGGAGGCAGCAGUGGGGAAUAUUGCGCAAUGGGCGAAAGCCUGACGCAGCGACGCCGCGUGUGGGAUGAAGGCCUUCGGGUUGUAAACCACUGUCGCGAGGGACGAAUGCCCCGCAAGGGGAGUGACGGUACCUCGAAAGGAAGCACCGGCUAACUCUGUGCCAGCAGCCGCGGUAAUACAGAGGGUGCGAGCGUUGUCCGGAAUCACUGGGAGUAAAGGGCGCGUAGGCGGCCCGAUAAGUAGGGGGUGAAAUCUUGCGGCUCAACCGCAAGGCUGCCUUUUUAACAGUCAGGCUGGAGCACGGUAGAGGCAGAUGGAAUUCCCGGUUAGUCGGUGGAAUGAGUAUGAGAUCGGGAAGAACACCAGUGGCGAAGGCGGUCUGAUGGGCCGUUGAUGACUCUGAGGCGCGACAGCGUGGGGAGCAAACACGAUUAGAUACCCUGGUAGUCCACGCCGUAAACGAUGGGCAUUAGGCGUCGGGGGGAGCGACCCUCCCGGUGCCGUCGGUAACGCAGUAAGUGCCCCGCC
rnacentral:rRNA from 1 species